rnacentral:rRNA from 1 species
CCCUGUUAUUCUAUUAUAAUAUAAUAUUUCAAAGAAAAAAAACAUAAUAAAUCUGACGGUAUUAACUUUUACAAAGGAAUUUGUUUCUUAAUCGAAAACACACGUAAAACCUUACUUAAUUCAAUAUUUGUAUACCACCGUAAUAGAAAUUAUUUAAAAUUAAUUUCAUUAUAAACAAUUUUAUAACAUCAGGUCAAGGUGCAAUUUAAUUAAGACGAAAUGAAUUACAUUUUAAAAUAAACAUAUAAAAGAUGAAACUCUUUUAAAAAAAGAAUUUGUUAGUAAAAUUUUAUAAUAAUGUUUUUUUGAAAAUUUACAUUAAUAUGUACAUAUCGCCCG